UGCAAACAGAAGGGCAAAAACUGUUCUGUCUCCUGCUAAGGAAAAAUCCUACAAAAGGGAAUCAAUCAAUGUGAAUUCUGCUGAAGGACUGAGAAUUGGCUGUCUAUUUGCAUUUGCUGGGAGAGAGAGAGCUUUGUGUCCACAACCAGUGGAACCAGCAAUGGUGUAAAAAUAAUUCCAGGCGUUUGAGGCUUAUUAGAAUGACAUAGGCCUCCUUCUUCCGGAAUUAAAGUGUAUUAGGACCAUUUAUCUCAUUUGAGGAGACAGGAAGGUGCUCGUGGGAGGUGAAGAAUAUGUAUCACACUUCCUCUCUUAUGGUUUUGGUGUUAAAGACUGAAUAUUGAGGUCAGGGAAUUAAAUGCUAUUGUGGAGAUGUCAGAUACUAAAGGAGCACGUUCUAUCAUUUUGACUGCAGUACUUAUGAAAGAGAUAUAUUCUUGUCCACAGAAAAUGCGUUCCUUUUUUCUUUUUCUUUUCACAGGGCUUGAGAAAUAACUUCAGAAACGGAAUCUUGGGACCUAAAAACACAUGUAUUUCCUUUGAGCGGUAGGCACAUGUCCUGAGAGAUGUGUUGAUGUUUUUACAGGGGGGUGAGGCCAUAGGAAAUGGGCAAGACUCUUACCAGAAUGCUGUACAUGUGAGAGGAACAUGUAAAUCCAGGAAGCCUGCUCUGAAGAGGCAGUGCCUUUUAAUAUGUGCAGUUAUUGACAAUAUCACAGUCAUUGAUCAAUUUUAAUCUGACCUUUAACCUUAAACCCCUUUCUUUUAUGUUCCCCUUCCUCAGUGCCUCUCAUCCUACCUGAAGGACUCCUUAAUUCUUGAGUUACUAGGAAGAUAGUUUUCACUUGUGAUUCUGUUUUAAUCUUUGAAACUUUAUAAUUAGACUCAAAUGGUCCUGUAAGGAAGGUGGUCUGUUGAACAUAUAGCUGGGCUAAAAAUUAUAACUAAGUGGAAAAAAAAUGGGUAAGAGUGACGUGGGCCAUCAGAUACAGCUAUUCCCUGGGAGUAUGGAGUAAGCACAAGUUAGAUUCUGCAGAAACGCUCAAUCUCAUGAAGUUCAUGACAUUUCAUGCAUUUCUGAUGAGCCUCAUUUUUCUGCCUUGCUCCAGGAGCAUGGAAAAAAAGUUAUAUAUUUGGCCUCAUCUGUGACGAACUUAAGUAGCUUUAAAUGAUCAUGUUGAUUAGUCUACCUUGUUUUGAUAACUGGAAGGGCUAGAACCAUCUAGAAGCCCGAAGACUGAUGGUACCCAAAGCUAGUUGAUGGUCAAAAUCUAUUUUAAAAAAUAGAUUCCUAGGUCUUUUCCUCAGGAAUUCUACUUCCCAGGUUUGGGGAUGAGGCAAUUUUAAAAGACUCCCCAGACUGCUAUAAUGAUGAGCCAGGUUUGGAAACCAAGAACCUAAUGAAGACCAUUAGAACACAGGAGGAAUAUGCCAAGGCCCAUGUCAUGCCCACCUUGGGAUCAAGGAAAGCAAUCCCAGGGGAAGUUCCCAGGUGAUUUUGCUGUGCAGCCUGGUGGAGCACCAGCCUCCGAGGGAAUCAGAGCCACAGGGAGGCCAGGCCCACUCAUUCUCUCUCCUGAAAGUGGCAGUUUCACGAGAGAAGUAGGAUGAGAAAUGAAACCACAUUUGCAAGUUAUAUUCAAAACAGAAAAGGAGUGAGUCAGUGUUUCUUAAAUAUUUAGAUCCACGGCCUGUCAUGCAGUUCCAGUUUUAAGCAACGCCAGUUUAAAACUCCUUGGUGGUUUCUCACCUAGUCUCUGACUUUGAUAAACCUCUCACUGUUUCGAUUUCCUGACUCAUAGGGAUGUCUGCAAGAGUGAGGUGAUAAUGACUGAAACGGGGAGGAGAUGAGGUUCAGGGGAGUGAAGAGGGUGUGGGAAGCUGGAGCAGGCUUGCAGACUGACAGCCAGGCAUGAAGCUGAAACCACUCUGCUCCAAAUCGCUCGUUCUGAAGGGCCACGGAGCACUCCAUUCCCCCAAAACUGCACCACGGGAGAAAGAGACUGAGGCUGCAUAUUCUGACUGGGACCGUGGGGCAGGGGGACAGCUCUACUGAAGGCAUCCCCCUCCCCGCCAGGGACCAGAGCCAAGUAUGCAGAGAGAAGCAGGGCGGGAAACUACAGGGGUAAGCCAGGAGAUCAAUGGCUUUGAAAAAUACAGUGACAACCACCAGUAGCAGGGGCUGGGUCUGAGGGGGAAAAAAAACGGAGACAUGACCCUUGUCCUCAAAGAGUUUAUGGUUUAGCAGGGAAGAGAAUAUUUUGUCAAAAAUCACUCUACUGCCAGCUUUGCUCCUGCUACCUGUGUUAGACAACUAAUAUUGGAACUUAUGAAAACUAGAAAAAAUGCCAACCUUCAGAAGAGUCAGUAUUCCUAUUUGUAAAACAGGUACAAAGCACAUGCUGCAAGGCUGUUUAAAAAAAUUAUAUAUAUAAAAUUAUAUUAAAUAUAUUUAUAUAUUAUAUAACAUAUGUUUAUAUAUUAUUUAGUAUAUUAUAUAUAUAUUAGUUGUUGAUGGACCUUUAUUUUAUUCAUUUAUUUAUACAUGGUGCUGAGAAUCAAACCCAGGACCUCACUCAUGCUAGGCAAGUGCUGUACCACUGAGCCACAGUCCUAGCCCUGCAAGGUUGUUUUGAGACUUAAACAAUACAACAUAUCCACGAAGAGUCUGGAAGGCAGUGGAGGUAUAAUGAACAGGUUGUGUCCCUUUCUGAGGAAGGAAGGAUGGUGUUUUAGUCAGCUUUUCAUUGCUGUGACUAAAAGACCCGACAAGAACAACCUAGAGGAUAAAAAGUUCAUUGGCUCAUGGUUUCACAGGUUCAGUCCGUGGUUGGCUGACUCCACACCUCUGGGCCCGAGGUAAGGCAGAAUAUCAUGGCAGAAGGGAGUGAUGGAGUUCAUGACAGCCAGGAAGCAGAGUUCCACUCACCAGGGACAAAAUAUAAACCCCAAAGUCACAGCCCCGGCGAAUUUCCUCCUCCAGCCACACCGCACCAUCCAGUUACCAGCAGUUAAUCCCCAUCAGUGGCUUCAUCAACCAAGGCCAAAGCUCUCACAACCUAAUUAUUUCACCUCUGAACAUUGUUGCAUUGUUUUGCACAUGAGCUUUUGUGGAUACCUCAUAUCUAAACCAUAACAGAAGGUAUUUUCUAGAGAGUGAUAGGACACCGUUUGUGAAGGAGGCUGAAUUUGAGCUAAGGUUUAGAAAUUAAUAGAGAUAGAUAGAUAUUGAGCCACAUGUUG
rnacentral:lncRNA from 1 species